rnacentral:rRNA from 1 species
UACGAAGGGGGCAAGCGUUGUUCGGAAUGACUGGGCGUAAAGGGCGCGUAGGCGGUUCGUUGCGUCAGAUGUGAAAGCCCCGGGCUCAACCUGGGAACUGCAUUUGAUACGGGCGGGCUUGAAUCCAAGAGAGGGUGGUGGAAUUCCCAGUGUAGAGGUGAAAUUCGUAGAUAUUGGGAAGAACACCAGUGGCGAAGGCGGCCACCCUGGCUUGGUAUUGAGCGCCUG